AGAUUUUCCUACCUGCUUAUACUUGGUAACCGAGGGAAUUUCUAAGACUUCUUGCUCAUUUCUGAGUAUUGUCUUUAUAUCCUGACACUAUGAAUGCUACUUGGAUGCCUCUUAAGGGUCUCUUCUGCAGGGUCCCCAUGAAUUGUGGCUGAAGUUGUGCACAAACAAGUAUCUCCAGUGACAGGAGUGCCUUCUGAGGCAGCCAUUGCAUCUUCAUCUGCUGACACUCUGCUAGGCUGACUUCUGUAGUUUUCACCACUGAUCUUCAGUCCACCUCACAGAGCUCUAUAAAACGCUUAAAUCCUCUUUACAUCAUAGACUUUCAGCUACUUGAAGAUAGCCAUCAGCCGCUACGUGACUCUUUUCUCCAGGAACGAGGGGUCCCUGAGGGAAAGGACUGGGGCUCCUUCAUCUCUAUGAUCCUAGUGCAGUGUCUGAAGGCAUCAGGCCCUUCUCCUUCUGGGGCUGAACCCCGUCUCUGCCUCCCUCCAGGACCAGCACUGCGAGAGCCUGUCCCUGGCCAGCAACAUCUCAGGACUGCAGUGCAACGCAUCCGUGGA
rnacentral:lncRNA from 10 species